GCCUGGGUGGCUCAGUCGGUUGAGCGUCCGACUUCAGCUCAGGUCACGAUCUCACGGUUUGUGGGUUCGAGCCCCGCGUCGGGCU
rnacentral:tRNA from 1 species